GCUAUUCACCAAACAGUGGACAAAGCUAGACAUUUAGCUCUCCCACUGAACAGAUAGCCAGCCUAAGCGAAAGCUACGUUUUGAGGGUGAUGACACCUACAGGUGCUUUCCAGCUUGUAGCUCUGUC
rnacentral:sRNA from 19 species